UACGAAGGGGGCUAGCGUUGCUCGGGAUCACUGGGCGUAAAGCGCACGUAGGCGGAUUGCUAAGUCAGGGGUGAAAUCCUGGAGCUCAACUCCAGAACUGCCUUUGAUACUGGCGACCUUGAGUCCGGGAGAGGUGAGUGGAACUGCGAGUGUAGAGGUGAAAUUCGUAGAUAUUCGCAAGAACACCAGUGGCGAAGGCGGCUCACUGGCCCGGUACUGACGCUGAGGUGCGAAAGCGUGGGGAGCAAACAGG
rnacentral:rRNA from 1 species